rnacentral:rRNA from 1 species
CGCGGCCUAUCAGCUUGUUGGUGGGGUGAUGGCCUACCAAGGCGACGACGGGUAGCCGGCCUGAGAGGGUGUCCGGCCACACUGGGACUGAGAUACGGCCCAGACUCCUACGGGAGGCAGCAGUGGGGAAUAUUGCACCAUGGGCGCAAGCCUGAUGCAGCGACGCCGCGUGGGGGAUGACGGCCUUCGGGUUGUAAACCUCUUUCACCAUCGGCGAAGCCGGGAGCUUUUGUUUCUGGUGACGGUAGGUGGAGAAGAAGCACCGGCCAACUACGUGCCAGCAGCCGCGGUAAUACGUAGGGUGCGAGCGUUGUCCGGAAUUACUGGGCGUAAAGAGCUCGUAGGUGGUUUGUCGCGUUGUUCGUGAAAUCUCACGGCUUAACUGUGAGCGUGCGGGCGAUACGGGCAGACUGGAGUACUGCAGGGGAGACUGGAAUUCCUGGUGUAGCGGCGGAAUGCGCAGAUAUCAGGAGGAACACCGGUGGCGAAGGCGGGUCUCUGGGCAGUAACUGACGCUGAGGAGCGAAAGCGUGGGGAGCGAACAGGAUUAGAUACCCUGGUAGUCCACGCCGUAAACGGUGGGUACUAGGUGUG